CUGGAUGGUGGUUCAAGUCCGUAGGCGGUUCUUUCAGGAAUAAAACGAGAGAGCAACGCCGAGAGAUGAUGUCGAGGAGCCGCAAGGCUCCGAGCAAUUGAAGCCAUGCUUCCAAGAAAAGCCGCGGGCCGCGAUGAUUCGAUGUUGACCGUACCGCAAACCGACUCAGGUGGGCAGGUGGAGAACACCGAGGCACUAGGGAGAACACUGGUUAAGGAACUAGGCAAAUUGAUACCGUAACUUCGGAAUAAGGUAUGCCAUCGAUAGGUGAAGGGCCUCGCGCCCAGAGCCGAGGGUGGUCGCAGUGAAGCGGCGGUAGCGACUGUUUACCAAAAACACAGGUCUCUGCGAAGCCGGAAGGCGACGUAUAGGGACUGACGCCUGCCCGGUGCCGGAAGGUUAAGAGGAGUCGUUAGCGCGAGCGAAGCGGCGAAUUGAAGCCCCGGUAAACGGCGGCCGUAACUAUAACGGUCCUAAGGUAGCGAAAUUCCUUGUCGGGUAAGUUCCGACCUGCACGAAAGGCGUAACGACUUCCGCGCUGUCUCGACCAGUGACCCUGUGAAAUUGACGUUGGGGUGAAGAUGCCCCAUACCCGCAGAUAGACGGAAAGACCCUGUGAACCUUUACUCUAGCUUGGCAGUGGCAUCCGACCUGGUUUGUGUAGGAUAGGUGGGAGGCAUUGAUCUCGGAGCGCUAGCUUCGAGGGAGCCACCGUUGAAAUACCACCCUGACCAUGUUGGCUGCCUAACCCCGACAGGGGGACACUGCCUGGUGGGGAGUUUGACUGGGGCGGUCGCCUCCCAAAAAGUAACGGAGGCGCGCGAAGGUUCUCUCAGCCUGAUUGGAAACCAGGCGUAGAGUGCAAAGGCAUAAGAGAGCUUGACUGCGAGACAGACAUGUCGAGCAGGUGCGAAAGCAGGCCUUAGUGAUCCGGCGGUCCCGCAUGGAAGGGCCGUCGCUCAUCGGAUAAAAGGUACUCCGGGGAUAACAGGCUUAUCACGCCCAAGAGUUCACAUCGACGGCGUGGUUUGGCACCUCGAUGUCGGCUCGUCGCAUCCUGGGGCUGGAGCAGGUCCCAAGGGUUUGGCUGUUCGCCAAUUAAAGCGGCACGCGAGCUGGGUUCUGAACGUCGUGAGACAGUUCGGUCCCUAUCUUCUGUGGGCGUUGGAGAGUUGAGAGGAUCUGUCCUUAGUACGAGAGGACCGGGAUGGACGUACCUCUGGUGUUCCGGUUGUCGCGCCAGCGGCAGUGCCGGGUAGCCACGUACGGACGGGAUAACCGCUGAAAGCAUCUAAGUGGGAAACCCUCCUCAGGAUUAGCUCUCCCUGAAGGACCCAGGUAGACGACCUGGUUGAUAGGCAGGACGUGUAAUCGCAGCAAUGCGUUGAGCGAACCUGUACUAAUUGUCCGUUCGGCUUGACCU
rnacentral:rRNA from 1 species